AACGUAGGAUCCGAGCGUUAUCCGAAUUUACUGGGCGUAAAGCGCGUGCAGGCGGUUUGGUAAGUUGGAUGUGAAAGCUCCUGGCUCAACUGGGAGAGGCCGUUCAAAACUGCCAGACUAGAGGGCGAUAGAGGGAGGUGGAAUUCCCGGUGUAGUGGUGAAAUGCGUAGAUAUCGGGAGGAACACCUGUGGCGAAAGCGGCCUCCUGGGUCGCACCUGACGCUCAGACGCGAAAGCUAGGGGAGCGAACGGG
rnacentral:rRNA from 1 species